UACGUAGGGUGCAAGCGUUGUCCGGAAUUAUUGGGCGUAAAGAGCUCGUAGGCGGUUCGUCGCGUCGGCUGUGAAAUCCCGAGGCUCAACCUCGGGUCUGCAGUCGAUACGGGCGGACUGGAGUUCGGCAGGGGAGACUGGAAUUCCUGGUGUAGCGGUGAAAUGCGCAGAUAUCAGGAGGAACACCGGUGGCGAAGGCGGCUAUCUGGACGACAACUGACGCUGAGGCGCGAAAGUGUGGGGAUCAAACAGG
rnacentral:rRNA from 1 species